rnacentral:lncRNA from 10 species
AUUACUAAUGUCAUAUUAUGUCUUGUUUCUCGUGAGUGGUUUAAGCUAAAUGUUAAAACAGUCAUUCUUAAAGUGUGGUCCCUGGACCAGCAGUAUCAGCAUGGCAUGGGAGUCUGAUAGACUUGCAAGUUCUCGGGGCCCCACUCUGGGCCUCUUGAAUAGAACUCUUGGGGUGGGGCCAGGGAUGAUCUGCAUUUCAACAAUCCUCUAGGUAAUUCUAAUGUGUGCUAAAAUUUGAGGAUUACUUCCUAGUAAGAAAGCAGAAUGACUUCUAGCUGGAGUGAUAAGGAAAGUCAGAUUAUACUUUAUUUAGUGAAUUUUGGUGGAG